AUUGAACGCUGGCGGCAGGCCUAACACAUGCAAGUCGAACGGUAGCACAGAGAGCUUGCUCUUGGGUGACGAGUGGCGGACGGGUGAGUAAUGUCUGGGAAACUGCCCGAUGGAGGGGGAUAACUACUGGAAACGGUAGCUAAUCCCGCAUAACGUCUUAGGACCAAAGUGGGGGACCUUCGGGUCUCACACCAUCGGAUGUGCCCAGAUGGGAUUAGCUAGUAGGUGGGGUAAAGGCUCACCUAGGCGACGAUCCCUGGCUGGUCUGAGAGGAUGACCAGCCACGCUGGAACUGAGACACGGUCCAGACGCCUACGGGAGGCAGCAGUGGGGAAUAUUGCACAAUGGGCGCAAGCCUGAUGCAGCCAUGCCGCGUGUAUGAAGAAGGCCUUCGGGUUGUAAAGUUCUUUCAGCGGGGAGGAAGGCGUUAAGGUUAAUAACCUUGGCGAUUGACGUUACCCGCAGAAGAAGCACCGGCUAACUCCGUGCCAGCCGCCGCCGUAA
rnacentral:rRNA from 1 species